rnacentral:rRNA from 1 species
GACGAACGCUGGCGGCGUGCUUAACACAUGCAAGUCGAGCGGUAAGGCCCUUUCCGGGGGUACACGAGCGGCGAACGGGUGAGUAACACGUGGGUGACCUGCCCUCAGCUCUGGGAUAAGCCUGGGAAACCGGGUCUAAUACCGGAUAUGACUCCAUGACGCAUGUUGUGGGGUGGAAAGCCUUGUGCGGCUGAGGAUGGGCCCGCGGCCUAUCAGCUUGUUGGUGGGGUGAUGGCCUACCAAGGCGACGACGGGUAGCCGGCCUGAGAGGGCGACCGGCCACACUGGGACUGAGACACGGCCCAGACUCCUACGGGAGGCAGCAGUGGGGAAUCUUGCGCAA